UACGGGGGGGGCAAGCGUUGUUCGGAAUUACUGGGCGUAAAGGGCGCGUAGGCGGCCAACUAAGUCGGAUGUGAAAUCCCCAGGCUUAACCUGGGAACUGCAUCCGAUACUGGAUGGCUUGAAUCCGGGAGAGGGAUGCAGAAUUCCAGGUGUAGCGGUGAAAUGCGUAGAUAUCUGGAGGAAUACCGGUGGCGAAGGCGGCAUCCUGGACCGGCAUUGACGCUGAGUGAGCGAAAGCCAGGGGAGCAAACGGG
rnacentral:rRNA from 1 species